GCCCGCUCGGAGCCCGCUCGGAGCCCGCUCGGAGCCCGCUCGGAGCCCGCUCGGAGCCCGCUCGGAGCCCGCUCGGCUCUCUGCGGAUCGGGGCGGCCCCGGGGAUCGCCCUCCUCGCUUCCAGCUCUCCUGCUUCCAGCUCUCCUACGGGCCCAUCCCGUUCGAGGAGGCUGCUGUGCAGGAAUUCGGACCGGCCCGAGUGGGAGACUCCUUCGGGCCCACGAGGCUCCCGUUCCAGACCUGCCUGCUGUGCAUUGGCUGCCAAUGACCGGUGACCCCUCGGGGCUGUGACUCCAGGUCCUCCCUCCAGCCCUGCUCCCCGGAGGGGAAGCAGCUGUGGUGGCAGGAGCAGAGAACCUGGAGCUAGAGGAUGUUUAAGGUUCCUUCCAAGCCAGGCCAUUCUGUGACCCUGUGAUCCUGCUGGCUCAAAGCACAGUGAGUCCCUGGGAGAGGCUGAAGCCGUGCCAAAGCCCUGCUGGUGUCUCCCUAUCCCAGGACGAUGGAAGCCACUCCAGGUGUGUAGGACUGGCAGCACGGAUUUUUGCAAGGAAAGCCGCCUCCUUUUGAGGAGACACAGUGCAGUGGUGAUGGCUGGCGUGGCUUACAAAAUCUGCUGACUUCUUUAUUUUUAAAAUCACAAUCUUCCCCCGCCUUUUAAGUCUCUGCCAGCGUUAAAUUUCUCUACUUAAAAAAAUAUAUAUCCCAUAUGUGGAUUUCUGGAUUGAAAUGCACCGAGACCUCCCCAGCCCCUUCUCCUCUUGCACACACGCACACACACACGCAGAGCAGCUCUGUCAAAUACUGGCUUGGUAUUUCCCAUGAUGUUUUCCCCAACACAGAAAGGGAAAAAUACAUCAGCACAAUCAGCUGCAGCUAAGUUGCUCAGCAACACUUCCAAAAAGCGAAGAUCCUUGGAGCUGGAAGACAAGGUGGAUAAAAGUUACCCACCAGGAAAAAAAGCCAAAAUUUUAAAAAAUUAAGAUUAUAUACUCUAUAUUUAUAUGUCUUUCAACCCCCAAACGCACACACGCCGCCUCUGCUGUUUCCUCUUGUCAACCUCAGAAAAGGGGUUGGAUUACACCUCCCACUUCCCUCCCCUUUCCCACCCCAAAAGCUGCAUGCUGCAACAGUGCCUUUCAGACAGGAACACGGCUGGGGGUGAGCGAGUUUCUUCCUCCAGUUAAGAACAAAGACAUUAUUUUUUUUAUUUACAAAAAAAGGAGAAAAAAGUUUCCACACAAAAGCACUACAAUGAUAACUCCCUUUGGUAAAAAGUGUAAUAAAUGUCUCCAUCGGUCUGUCUGUCGGUACUAAUUCUCAAGCCACCUGGUACUAUGGUACACAAGAAGCUAGUACAGUUAUGCUAGCACAUCAAGCAUAAUUCCUUUAAUUAAAAAAAAAACAAAACCAAAAAACAAAAAGAAAAAACCAAAAAAUUGACAAUUUGUACAUUUAUUUACAAAAAAGGAGGGGAACAUGUUAAAAUCGUGUUGUUCUCUGCUGUGUGUGUGUACGUACAUGUGUGUGAAAAGCUGGUGCAUGGCACUAGGAGAGACUAGUAAACAAGCAGGUACAAAAAAAAAAAAAAAACAAAAACAAAA